rnacentral:rRNA from 1 species
UACGGGGGGGGUAAGCGUUGUUCGGAAUUACUGGGCGUAAAGGGCUCGUAGGCGGCCAACUAAGUCAUACGUGAAAUCCCUCAGCUUAACUGGGGAACUGCGUGUGAUACUGGAUGGCUUGGAUUUGGGAGAGGGAUGCGGAAUUCCAGGUGUAGCGGUGAAAUGCGCAGAUAUCAGGAGGAGCACCGGUGGCGAAGGCGGAUCUCUGGGCCUUGCCUGACGCUGAGGCGCGAAAGCUAGGGGAGCAAACGGG